CUUUAUUGGAGAGUUUGAUCCUGGCUCAGGAUGAACGCUGGCGGCGUGCCUAAUACAUGCAAGUCGAGCGAAUGGAUUAAGAGCUUGCUCUUAUGAAGUUAGCGGCGGACGGGUGAGUAACACGUGGGUAACCUGCCCAUAAGACUGGGAUAACUCCGGGAAACCGGGG
rnacentral:rRNA from 1 species